ACUUUUGAAUGAAAAGAAACAUUUAUUGAUUGAGAAAUCACCUCUAAAUAGGCCUUUACAUUAGGAGGCAAUUCCUAGGAAGAGGCAAUUGAAAAAAACAAUAAAAGAUUUAUUAGAAGAAUGGCAAUGUGAAAAACAGAUUCCCAUCAGAUUUUGAUUCUGCUAUAAUUCCUUAUGGCCUUAAUGCUCUCAUCCCAUUGCUUUAUGAAAAAAAAUGAUUUGAC
rnacentral:lncRNA from 1 species